CACGUAGGGGGCGAGCGUUGUCCGGAUUUAUUGGGCGUAAAGAGCUCGUAGGCGGCUCAGUAAGUCAGGUGUGAAAACUCCAGGCUCAACCUGGAGACGCCACCUGAUACUGCUGUGGCUAGAGUCCGGUAGGGGAGCAUGGAAUUCCUGGUGUAGCGGUGAAAUGCGCAGAUAUCAGGAGGAACACCGAUGGCGAAGGCAGAUCUCUGGGCCGUAACUGACGCUGAGGAGCGAAAGCAUGGGGAGCGAACAGG
rnacentral:rRNA from 1 species